rnacentral:rRNA from 1 species
UACAGGGGGUGCAAACGUUGCUCGGAAUUAUUGGGCGUAAAGCGCGCGUAGGCGGCUACUUAAGUCGGAUGUGAAAGCCCUUGGCUCAACUGAGGAAGUGCACCCGAAACUGAGUGGCUAGAGUACGAAAGAGGGUCGCGGAAUUCCCGGUGUAGAGGUGAAAUUCGUAGAUAUCGGGAGGAACACCAGUGGCGAAGGCGGCGACCUGGGCCAAUAUUGACGCUGAGGUGCGAAAGCGUGGGGAGCAAACAGG